GUAGGUGGCAAGCGUUGUCCGGAUUUACUGGGCGUAAAGGGCGUGUAGGCGGUUUAUUAAGUCUAGUGUGAAAUCUCCCGGCUCAACUGGGAGGAGCCACUGGAUACUGGUAGACUAGAGGGAGGCAGAGGAAGGUGGAAUUCCCGGUGUAGCGGUGGAAUGCGUAGAUAUCGGGAGGAACGCCAAUGGCGAAGGCAGCCUUCUGGGCCCACCCUGACGCUGAGGCGCGAAAGCGUGGGGAGCAAACCGGAUUAGAUACCCGGGUAGUCCACGCCCUAAACGGUGGAUGCUAGGUGUAGGGGAUGUCGACCCUCCCUCUGUGCCGUAGUUAACGCUUUAAGCAUCCCGCCUGGGAAGUACGGCCGCAAGGCUA
rnacentral:rRNA from 1 species